CAUUUACGGAGAGUUUGAUCCUGGCUCAGGACGAACGCUGGCGGCGUGCUUAACACAUGCAAGUCGAACGAUGAUGCCCAGCUUGCUGGGUGGAUUAGUGGCGAACGGGUGA
rnacentral:rRNA from 1 species